UCUGGUGACGAUAGCGAGGGGUCACACCUGUUCCCAUCCCGAACACAGAAGUUAAGCCCUUCAGCGCCGAUGGUACUUGGGCGUAUGCCCUGGGAAGUAGGACGUUGCCAGGC
rnacentral:rRNA from 1 species